CCCGGGGAAGACCAGCUGUCUCCACCUGCUCUGGUUUUUCUGCAACACCAUAGCACCCGUUUCUAGCCCUGUGAGGAUGAGGAUGGAGGUCUGCCCUGCCUGGGAAAGAAACAUGGAGCCCAUCCUCAGGGCUAUCCGGAGAAUCCAGUGAGAUAACCAUACAGAAGACCCUGAGCAUGGUGCUCGGCAAGUGUUAAGUGUCUCAAAAGAAUCACAGCAAAGGUAGAAGAACUCCAAGAACUCCAGUGGGAGCAGGGUAAAGCCAUGGACACCAGGGAGGCCACUGUGGUUGGAGAAGAACUUGAGCCAGGUGCUUUGGGAUCUGCCCGCCCCGGCUUCUGCUCACAUAGACCCCCAUCUCUGGGACUUCCUGGAGAACCGCUUCUCAGGUGAGGAGGUGACACUCAUCCAGAAGAUGUGUAACCACCUGACUCCCCUCCACAGCCUGGCUGGGCCCCCAUGUCUGCACGGGCAUCCCUUUGAAAGGCUCACUCUGAAGCACAACUAGGAGACUCCAGAGUCCAGCAGCCUUUGCGAGGCCUCUGACAUCCCCCUGCUGCCGGGGCUUCUGCCCGAGCGCCUUCUGGCAGCCAUGAGGCAGCUUGUUCACCACCCUGGAGUCCUCUCGCAAGAUGUGAACCCAAUGGAAAGAGUAAAACCUUUUGCAACAACAACAACAAAAAGAAAGGAAGAAAGAAAGAAGGAAAGAAAGAAAC